rnacentral:tmRNA from 1 species
GGGGUAGUAAAGGUUUCGACAGGGGUCAUGAAGGCGGAGAAGCUAUCCGUAGGCGAAACGUAAACGCAAUUUUAAAAUAAACGCUGAUGAAAAAUUAGCAGCUGCCUAAUUUAAUUAUUAUGUAGCGAAAGCCGCUUUUUAGCGGCGGUCCGACCGGAGAUUACCCGCGCUCUCCGGAUCCGGGCCUCGUGAUCGCGGGAAACGACAAAAGCAAUGUCUUGUAGCUUUUGGGCGUAUUAACAAGGCUACCUUACCGGUCGGUGUUGAAGCCUGAUCACGUAAGGGAAAUUCAAAGCUCAACUAUGAUAGUAGAAGACCGACUGGAUCGACUUUUGGACACGAGUUCGACUCUCGUCUACUCCACU